rnacentral:tRNA from 1 species
CGGAGCGUAGCGCAGUCCGGAUUAGCGCACCUGAAUGGGGUUCAGGGGGUCGGUGGUUCAAAUCCACUCGCUCCGA